AAGUCGUAACAAGGUUUCCGUAGGUGAACCUGCGGAAGGAUCAUUAACAGUUUAUGUUUGUGUCUGUUGUUGUGAUGUGUGUGAUCUGUGACAAUUGCCAUUUGGUUGGCAAUGUUAUUUUUUUUACCAUGUUUUUUAUCACCUGUCUUAUACCAUACCAUAUACAAUUAUCGAAAACUGCCAGCAAUGGAUCACUCGGUUCUU
rnacentral:misc_RNA from 1 species